rnacentral:lncRNA from 1 species
CGUGGUAGCGUUUUUAAAGAAUAAAGGUUUCUGUGUAGAAAACAGUUUUCAAAAGGUUUUCUGUGGAUUUUGCAUCUUAGUAUUUCAAAACCUGUUUCUAUGGUUGGAAACAUUUUAACUGAUAGAUGUGGAUUUAUAUUUAAAUAUCGAAUGUAUAAAUGUGAAACUGUGGUGAAUGGUGUAUGAAUGUAUAACUGUUGGUUAUGUGUAUAUUCAUCUGAUUGUGGUUGUAUCAUGUUUGAAAUCUUGUACUUGUGCGACGCCGUGCAAAUAUAGGGGAGACUCCGUCCGUGUGAACAGUGGAUCUCCUGUAUUUGUGGCGGAUCUGGCAUACACUGCGGUCAGGUAUUCAAAAAAAAAAAAAUUCAGACACUUUUCCGCUAUGCUUUAAACUAAAAAGGGACCCCGGGUCGUGACAUAUAUACAUGUAUAUACAUAUACAUAUAUAUAUA